rnacentral:rRNA from 1 species
UACGAAGGGGGCUAGCGUUGCUCGGAAUCACUGGGCGUAAAGCGCACGUAGGCGGAUUGUUAAGUCAGGGGUGAAAUCCCGGAGCUCAACUCCGGAACUGCCUUUGAUACUGAGAAUCUUGAGUUCGAGAGAGGUGAGUGGAACUGCGAGUGUAGAGGUGAAAUUCGUAGAUAUUCGCAAGAACACCAGUGGCGAAGGCGGCUCACUGGCUCGAUACUGACGCUGAGGUGCGAAAGCGUGGGGAGCAAACAGG